AUACGGAGGGUGCAAGCGUUAAUCGGAAUUACUGGGCGUAAAGCGUACGUAGGCGGUUUGUUAAGUCAGAUGUGAAAGCCCCGGGCUCAACCUGGGAACUGCAUUUGAAACUGGCAGGCUAGAGUAUGGUAGAGGGGGGUAGAAUUUCUGGUGUAGCGGUGAAAUGCGUAGAUAUCAGAAGGAAUACCAGUGGCGAAGGCGGCCCCCUGGCCCAAUACUGACGCUGAGGUACGAAAGCGUGGGUAGCGAACGGGAUUAGAAACCCCGGUAGUCC
rnacentral:rRNA from 1 species